GUAUGGUCGGAAAGGUGAAACCUAAAGGAAUGGACGGAGGGGCACCACCGGGAGCGGAGUC
rnacentral:rRNA from 1 species